rnacentral:rRNA from 1 species
UACGGGAGGCAGCAGUGGGGAAUAUUGCACAAUGGGCGCAAGCCUGAUGCAGCCAUGCCGCGUGUAUGAAGAAGGCCUUCGGGUUGUAAAGUACUUUCAGUCGUGAGGAAGGUGUUAAGGUUAAUAACCUUAGCAAUUGACGUUAGCGACAGAAGAAGCACCGGCUAACUCCGUGCCAGCAGCCGCGGUAAUACGGAGGGUGCGAGCGUUAAUCGGAAUUACUGGGCGUAAAGGGCACGCAGGCGGUUAAUUAAGUUGGAUGUGAAAUCCCCGGGCUUAACCUGGGAAUGGCAUUCAAGACUGGUUAGCUAGAGUCUUGUAGAGGGGGUAGAAUUCCAUGUGUAGCGGUGAAAUGCGUAGAGAUGUGGAGGAAUACCGGUGGCGAAGGCGGCCCCUGGCAAAAACUGACGCUCAUGUGCGAAAGCGUGGGGAGCAAACAGGGAUUAGAUACCCGU